rnacentral:rRNA from 1 species
UACGUAGGUGGCGAGCGUUGUCCGGAUUUACUGGGCGUAAAGCGCGCGCAGGCGGCUGGUUAAGUCCGAUGUGAAAGCUCCCGGCUUAACUGGGAAAUUGCAUCGGAAACUGAUCGGCUGGAAGGUGGGAGAGGGUAGCGGAAUUCCCGGUGUAGUGGUGGAAUUCGUAGAUAUUGGGAAGAACACCGGUGGCGAAGGCGGCGACCUGGUCCGUGACUGACGCUGAGGCGCGAAAGCGUGGGGAGCAAACAGG